ACUUAGGUAGUUUAAAUUAAGCAUCGGUCUUGUAAGCCGAAGAUUGGGAAAUAAACCUUCCCCCCAAGUG
rnacentral:tRNA from 1 species